UAUGCUCAUGGGAACGGCGUUGGAAAGUGCUGUGAGCCUCUCUGUGAACUACAGACAGGAUGAGAACAAGAACCUCCUGGAGCAGUGACUGCACAAAAGGGUCCCAAAGCCCAGCUGUACCCGGAGCCCGAGUUCAUGGUGUCAGUGGGACCCGCCUGUUCCUGGCAGAAGUUCCAAUGCCCUCUCUGGAGAUAAGGAUCAGGCAGAGUGAUGAGCUGAUGUGACUGGUAAUGCACUGAUUUGCCUUUAUCCGGGCUCUCUCUUCUGAGCUGUGGAAUGCUCGGUGGUCCAGAACACCUCCAAAUAGGUCUACGUGCAAAUAGGAGUCAUCACCACAGCCACAAGAGUCCUGAGACUCCAUGCCAUCUAUCAUGUCAUGGCAGGGUGACUGGAAACGCAAGAGAGACUCUCCAUGAGCCCCACACAGGGCUCUGUUGGUUUAUUUUAUGUCACACCUACUGCUAUGUCUGCUCAGAGAACAAGCUUUAUUCCUCUUUCCUUAGCAGUCAAAACAUGUUUUUGGAAACACAGCCUUACCCGUACUACUUAACCAUGAUUGGUUAGUUAGUUUGUAUGUUUAAUCAUUCAUUCAACAAAUAUGUACUGAACAUCUCGUGUGCCAGGUGGGAUUUGACAUUCUGGAAAAAGAGUGGAGAGCAGCCAGGCCCUGUCCUAGUCUCUUGAGCCCACAGGAGACAGACAUUAAACUAACAGUCAUGAUAAUUAAUGUAUGGUCGCCAUCUCCUGACACUCGCGUGGGGUUUUUUGCAAGCGUUCUGUUUCUAAUUACAGAAACGAUGUCGAGAUUCGCCAAUGGUUUUAGAAACUGUAACUCAGAGCAGUUAGCCCUAUGGCAGCAUCACUCUCACUUACUCUUGUUUCCAAUGUGCUUUCCUAAGUGGGUGGAAUUAUAGCCAGAGCUCCAAGAAUUCUAUAAACACCAGGACUCCUUUGGAAGUGGGUAGACAUCAUCCAUUGUAUAUGUGGCAGCAGAAAAUAGGAGGCGGUUGGGAAACACGGUCAUCACCAAAGAAUAUUGCUUCUUGGACUCAUCAGUCCUGGGGUUGCUAUACUGCCAAGCUGCUUUAUCUCUCUGAGUCUCCACAUUGUUAUCCGUGAAAUGGGAUAAUAACUCUUAUCUCACAGGGUGGUUGUGAGAACUAACAAGAUAAUCAAUGUAAAUGCCUGGGUUUUUUGUUGUUAGGUGCCAUUGAGUCAAUUCCAACUCAUAGAGACCCUGUGUACAACAGAACAAAACACUACCC